rnacentral:tRNA from 2 species
GGGCCAGUAGCUCAGUGGUCAGAGCAGGGGACUCAUAAUCCCUUGGUCGCGGGUUCAAGUCCUGCCCGCCCCACCA